GACGAACGCUGGCGGCGUGCUUAACACAUGCAAGUCGAACGGAAAGGCCUCUUUCGGGGGGUACUCGCGUGGCGAACGGGUGAGUAACACGUGCGUAACCUGCCCUUGACUUUGGGUUAACUUCAGGAAACUGGGGCUAAUACCUGCUAGGAGCUCCUGCUGCAUGGUGGGGGUUGGAAAGUUUCGGCGGUUGGGGAUGGACUCGCGGCUUAUCAGCUUGUUGGUGGGGUAGUGGCUUACCAAGGCUUUGACGGGUAGCCGGCAUGAGAGGGUGACCGGCCACAUUAGGACUGAGAUACGGCCAAGACUCGUACGGGAGGCAGAAGUGGGGAAUAUUGCACAAUGGGUGGAAGCGUGAUGCAGCAACGCCGUGGGAGGGAUGAAGGCCUUCGGGUUGUAAACCGAUUUCGGUAAUGACGAAGCUUUGUGUGAAGGUAGUGGGUAAAGAAGCACAGGCUAAAUAAGUG
rnacentral:rRNA from 1 species